rnacentral:misc_RNA from 1 species
GAUGAAGAACGUAGCGAAAUGCGAUACGUAAUGUGAAUUACAGAAUUCAGUGAAUCAUCGAGUCUUUGAACGCACAUUGCGCCCCCUGGUAUUCCGGGGGGCAUGCUUGUCCGAGCGUCAUUGCUGCCCUCAAGCACGGCUUGUGUGUUGGGCCUCCGUCCUCCUCCCGGGGGACGGGCCCGAAAGGCAGCGGCGGCACCGCGUCCGGUCCUCGAGCGUAUGGGGCUUCGUCACCCGCUCUUGUAGGCCCGGCCGGCGCUUGCCGACACAUCAAUCUUUUUUCCAGGUUGACCUCGGAUCAGGUAGGGAUACCCGCUGAACUUAAGCAUAUCAAUAAGCGGAGGA